rnacentral:rRNA from 1 species
UUUAAGCUUCCUACGGGAGGCUGCAGUGGGGAAUCUUGCGCAAUGGGCGAAAGCCUGACGCAGCCAUGCCGCGUGAAUGAUGAAGGUCUUAGGAUUGUAAAAUUCUUUCACCGGGGACGAUAAUGACGGUACCCGGAGAAGAAGCCCCGGCUAACUUCGUGCCAGCAGCCGCGGUAAUACGAAGGGGGCUAGCGUUGCUCGGAAUUACUGGGCGUAAAGGGAGCGUAGGCGGACAUUUAAGUCAGGGGUGAAAUCCCGGGGCUCAACCUCGGAAUUGCCUUUGAUACUGGGUGUCUUGAGUAUGAGAGAGGUGUGUGGAACUCCGAGUGUAGAGGUGAAAUUCGUAGAUAUUCGGAAGAACACCAGUGGCGAAGGCGACACACUGGCUCAUUACUGACGCUGAGGCUCGAAAGCGUGGGGAGCAAACAGGAUUAGAUACCCUUGUAGUCGAAUUC